UCCGUAGGUGAACCUGCGGAAGGAUCAUUAAAG
rnacentral:rRNA from 4 species